rnacentral:lncRNA from 1 species
CUCGCCCGUUAUCGCCGGCACAUGCCUGAAUUGCAAAAGAAUCCGCUCUUCAAUUGGAACUUAUUGAUAUUCUAAGAAAAAAAAAAAGAGAGAAGGGGGAAAAAACUGAAAAUCCUUAAGUUUAAGCCGCAGAUUUUUAAAUGGAUUAAUUUCGCUGCAAUCGCAGCCAUCUAAGGCGGGAAGGCAGGCAGAGCAAAUUGAAAGCGUCUCCAUGUUUGCAGAAUUGGGUCCAGAACGCUGAAAUGUACUGGCACAGCUCUCUUUUAAAGUCAGAAAAUUACCAUUCAUUUACAUCACAUGAAAUACUUUUUUAUGCUAGAAAUAUUCAAGAGACGUUCUUUAAAUGCCUGCUAAUGCUUGAUAACAUUUCUAACAUGAUGAACUGACAUAAUAGAAACAAUUAAAUGGGGUUUUCUCUUUC